rnacentral:rRNA from 1 species
AAUCCAUAGGUUAAUGAGGCGAACCGGGGGAACUGAAACAUCUAAGUACCCCGAGGAAAAGAAAUCAACCGAGAUUCCCCCAGUAGCGGCGAGCGAACGGGGAGGAGCCCAGAGCCUGAAUCAGCAUGUGUGUUAGUGGAAGCGUCUGGAAAGGCGCGCGAUACAGGGUGACAGCCCCGUACACAAAAGCGCAUGUGCUGUGAGCUCGAUGAGUAGGGCGGGACACGUGGUAUCCUGUCUGAAUAUGGGGGGACCAUCCUCCAAGGCUAAAUACUCCUGACUGACCGAUAGUGAACCAGUACCGUGAGGGAAAGGCGAAAAGAACCCCGGCGAGGGGAGUGAAAAAGAACCUGAAACCGUGUACGUACAAGCAGUGGGAGCACCCUUUGGGUGUGACUGCGUACCUUUUGUAUAAUGGGUCAGCGACUUAUAUUCUGUAGCAAGGUUAACCGAAUAGGGGAGCCGGAGGGAAACCGAGUCUUAACCGGGCGUUAAGUUGCAGGGUAUAGACCCGAAACCCGGUGAUCUAGCCAUGGGCAGGUUGAAGGUUGGGUAACACUAACUGGAGGACCGAACCGACUAAUGUUGAAAAAUUAGCGGAUGACCUGUGGCUGGGGGUGAAAGGCCAAUCAAACCGGGAGAUAGCUGGUUCUCCCCGAAAGCUAUUUAGGUAGCGCCUCGUGAAUUCAUCUCCGGGGGUAGAGCACUGUUUCGGCUAGGGGGCCAUCCCGGCUUACCAACCCGAUGCAAACUGCGAAUACCGGAGAAUGUUAUCACGGGAGACACACGGCGGGUGCUAACGUCCGUCGUGAAGAGGGAAACAACCCAGACCGCCAGCUAAGGUCCCAAAGUCAUGGUUAAGUGGGAAACGAUGUGGGAAGGCCCAGACAGCCAGGAUGUUGGCUUAGAAGCAGCCAUCAUUUAAAGAAAGCGUAAUAGCUCACUGGUCGAGUCGGCCUGCGCGGAAGAUGUAACGGGGCUAAACCAUGCACCGAAGCUGCGGCAGCGACACUGUGUGUUGUUGGGUAGGGGAGCGUUCUGUAAGCCUGUGAAGGUGUGUCGUGAGGCAUGCUGGAGGUAUCAGAAGUGCGAAUGCUGACAUAAGUAACGAUAAAGCGGGUGAAAAGCCCGCUCGCCGGAAGACCAAGGGUUCCUGUCCAACGUUAAUCGGGGCAGGGUGAGUCGACCCCUAAGGCGAGGCCGAAAGGCGU